UCAGGAGCUUCAGCUCCUCCCCCAUCCACUGCUUUCAGCACCUCAUCCAGAGUGUUUAACUAUACAUUUAUUCAUUCAACAGACAUUUAUUGAGUGCUUACUGCAUGCCAGGCACUGGGCCUGUAGGGAUGUGUAGGAACUGCUUCUGAACAGCCCCGAAUAUCGAUGACCACACCCUGUUAACCUCAGGAGAUGAAUCCAAGACCUAUCUUUGGAGAGCCUGAACUCAGAAGUCCAAGUCCUGCCACUUCCUGGAGUGUGCCUUUAGGCACAGUACUUCACCUGUCUGAGCUGCAGUGUCCUCAGGGGGAAAUCAGGAUGGCUCCUUGCGGCUCAGUCUUCUGGGUGUGAACCCCAGGUGGCCUGAUGCAUAUUCCCCAUCCCUACAGAAACCCACAAGAGUUUUGAUGGGGGAAUGGAAGGUAGGAUGUGAUCUUCCUAGGCCCGGUAGAGAAGUCUCUCUGGCAUGGCAGGCUGCUUGGGGAACUGUGAUUUCACACCAGAAAAUUCUGAAGAGUCUCAGGGCCUGGGAUCUAUACUUUCUAAAAUACAUGUGUGUACAUGUAUCUGUGUUCACGUUUGUGGGUAUGCCCGUGUGCACUGUGGCCACGUGUGUGUCUGGAGGGAGACUUAAGCAGGCUGACAGGCCAUCUUUCAUGCUGCUUCCAGAGAGGUCUUUCUUAAAGGCACAAUGGAUCGUGUCAUUCUUUUGCCGAAAACCCUUCCAUAAAUCCUCAGUGUCCCUAGGAAAAUGAACUGGCUUCUA